GAUAGGCUACAUUACUGAAAUCUACAUCAUGUUCCUGCUUCCUGAGCCUCGGGUUGUUUCUCCUUCCUUGCUUGCUUUAAUUGUGCAGUAGUAAAUGCAGCAUAAGCAAUUGGCGCCUGACAGUUUGAGAGAUAGAAUCCAAAAGAUGGAGAGAGCAGACGCAUCAAAAGAUGUUUUCGGCCUCAUAUUGAAGGACUUUAAUGACACCCCUGCGGACAGCCCUAGACACGACUGCAUAAGCAGCCACCUGCUGGAGCAUUGGUGAAGGUCUAGGUUCGCCUCCCUCCGGGGCCUGGUCACUCCUGCUGAUGGC